rnacentral:rRNA from 1 species
AGUGAACGCUGGCGGUAGGCCUAACACUUGCAAGUCGAACGGCAGCACAGUAAGAGCUUGCUCUUACGGGUGGCGAGUGGCGGACGGGUGAGGAAUACAUCGGAAUCUACUUUUUCGUGGGGGAUAACGUAGGGAAACUUACGCUAAUACCGCAUACGACCUACGGGUGAAAGCAGGGGAUCUUCGGACCUUGCGCGAUUGAAUGAGCCGAUGUCGGAUUAGCUAGUUGGCGGGGUAAAGGCCCACCAAGGCGGCGAUCCGUAGCUGGUCUGAGAGGAUGAUCAGCGACACGGGAAGUGAGACACGGUCCAGACUCCUACGGGAGGCAGCAGUGGGGAAUAUUGGACAAUGGGGGAAAGCCUGAUCCAGCCAUACCGCGUGGGUGAAGAAGGCCUUCGGGUUGUAAAGCCCUUUUGUUGGGAAAGAAAAGCAGCAGGUUAAUACCCCGCUGUUCUGACGGUACCCAAAGAAUAAGCACCGGCUAACUUCGUG